ensembl:snRNA U6 U6 spliceosomal RNA
GUGCUCACUUCAGCAGCACAUAUAGUAAAAUUGGAAUGAUACAGAGAACAUUAGCAUGGCCCCUGCUCAAGGAUGACACUUCAAAUUUGUGAAGUGUUCCAUAUUAAA